ensembl:lincRNA
AUGGGAACAGUUGUCAAGGAAACCUGUACAACGUGGCUCUUCUGCCAGUUCAUUCGGCGGGUCCCCGACUCCACGGCAUGGAAGUGUAAGUCCUUGUCCAUGCUCUGGAUCUGUGCCAAUUCCUACAGCUUCUUCUGGUUGGCAUCCAAAGCCCUGAAUAUCAUCAUCCAAAGAGAGAAACAGUGCGAUCUGAUGACAUGCAGUUCUGUAAUAUCCUCCAUAUCAAACCCGUUGUCAUUCCCUGAGCCCAUUGCACUGUUGCAUCUGCCUGCUGUUACCCUUCCUGAGAGAGUGAAAGAAGUAGGAGCAAAUGGACUAGUUAAUGAAGCAAGGACCUGGAGCAAAUAGGAUGCAGGCAAUCAAGGACACAGGCAGGAAGGCAAGAGAGCCUCUGCUGAGACUGUAGGAGAGGUGUGUGGAUGAUCAGGGAUGUAGGUAAAACACGGUGGUGGUAGAAGGGCCACAUGUGGAACACAGAGGGAGCAUUGGAUCUGGGCCAGUUCUGCCCAACACGGCAUUCCUCUAAUGGGACAUUUUGGCUCAGGCACUCUCCAGAGACCUGACUGAGAUUUUCUUGAACUUCUGCUGAGGUCUGAGGCUUUUCCCAUUCAAUCCCUCCUUCCCUUCCCACUCUCCUUCCGCAGAGGUAGACCUGCACCAUGGUUAAAGUCUUCUCCUAAUUACCCCUGCUCCCUCGCCCUUUGUCCUCACAGGCAUUUCCCUCAACAAACCUCUUGAACAUAGAAUUCUUGCUUGGUGUCUGCCUCUCAGAGGACCCAAAUUGAUACCACAUCUUAUAAGUGGGGGAAAAUGGAAGGCCGAAGGGACUCGGUGUGGUUUCUCCAUGUGAUGGAAGAAUAGACGUACAGGGAAUGAGAGCACGGGAAUUGCAAGGGUUGGCGGUGAGGGCUGGAGAGCAGAUUAGACAGAUCAGGAUGUAAAAGGGUUUCGGGGAGCAGAGUUCAGAGAAUGGCUGUAGGAAUAGGUUGCUGGAGGAGAGACGAAGGUCAAUGACACUGGUCUGGAACUACCAUGCAGUAAUAUUAGUUGCCUGUUCAUUACUAAUAUAACCCUGCUUUUAUUCAGAACAGCAGCGGACCCAGCUGACAAUUCUCAGCUUUCUUUGCAGUUAGGGGUGGCCAAGUAUGUGUAAGUAAAAAUCACUGGCUAGGGAAGGAGGGGGGGACACAAGAAAAAAAAGUGAGAAGUCACCUAGAAGGUGUGCCCAUUUGCCAUUUCUUCUCCUUUCUUCUUCCAGCCUUUCAGCCAGUUUGGACCAUGAACCACUUUAAGGACGGAAACCAAGGCUAGGAUGGUGGAGCAAAAAGACAGGGGUCCCUAAACAACAUGGAGUCACCAUUCUAGCCCUGAUUCCACUAUAUGAGAGGGUUUGUAUUAUUUAAGCCACUUUGCUGGGUAUUUCAUGUACAGUCAAACCAAUUCUAACUGGUGGAGAUAAAUUGUUCAUACAGACAUAACUAUCUCCUGGAGGUUGAGGUAGACAGAAUGUAUAUAAGUCAGAUGGAAAGAUGCAUAGUGUCUAAGGGGGAAUGUUUUGGAGGCUAAGGGUGAGAGGAACAAGAAGAAAAUGGCAUGUAUGUGAACGUGUACACGUCAGGGGAGGAGGGCCAAAGGGCAGAGGUUCUCGCCUGAGAGUGGAGACGUGCUGGAUUGGAAAUACCAAUGAGAAAUGGCCAGUAGGAGAGUAUUUAUCUCCCCUCACUGGCCCUAAUGAUUGUGGGGUGAUGGAGUGGAGCAGCUUCUAUCCUGGAAGGCUGAAAUAAAGUGUUUGUUUCCAAUGGGAGUUUAGAAACCAAUCAAAAUGGACAGGGGAGCUCUAUUCAGUGAAGGAAAGAGUCAGAAGAAAUAAAUUACAAAAGAACACUGAGGCGAGCAGAGAGGCGAGGGCGAGUAGGGAGUGGAGCGUUGCCUUUGGGGAGGUGGCUAAAGACUGCAGGGAGCAGAAGUAUGGAGGGAAUGGCUUGCACCAACGUUUCAGCCCCUGACAGAGCCUCCUGCAGUGUCAGGCCCAGGUUCCAUGGGAGGGGAGUGGGGAGGGGGAAGAGCAGUGCAGCCUGCAGAUUUCCUAAGUUUUUGCUGCUGUUCAGGGACAAAUUUGCAUAAGGUAGGAAUGAGUCCUCGUCACAAAUGUGGAUCCUGACUCAAAUACAGUUACGGUUACAGUUCAGCUCCAUCUGAAGGUGAGAAACAAGCUCCCAGGUGAAGGGGCUCGGAGUCUGAAAGCUGCCUGGGCCAAGGUGCCUGGUAAUUAGGGUUCCCCUUGCUGUCUGAGGACUGGAGCUGUUUCUGCCCCACUUGGCAUUUCCCUAUGUUCCCCCCUCAAAUCAACAAAUCAUGACAACUCUACGGAUUUGGGGGUGGGGGACAUUAAGUGAAGAUCAUUGAGUUUCAUGUGUUACAUGAAAGAACCAAGAACUGAUAUGAAUGGGAUGAAUCUUAGCAUUUUUGAAGUUUGAG